rnacentral:rRNA from 1 species
GCGAGUGAAGCGGGAAGAGCUCAAAUUUGAAAUCUGGUGGCCUCAGGUCAUCCGAGUUGUAAUCUAUAGAAGUGUUUUCCGUGCUGGCUCAUGUACAAGUCCCUUGGAACAGGGCGUCAUAGAGGGUGAGAAUCCCGUCCUUGACAUGAACUACCAGUGCUCUGUGAUACAUUUUCAACGAGUCGAGUUGUUUGGGAAUGCAGCUCAAAAUGGGUGGUAAAUUCCAUCUAAAGCUAAAUAUUGGCGAGAGACCGAUAGCGAACAAGUACCGUGAGGGAAAGAUGAAAAGCACUUUGGAAAGAGAGUUAAACAGUAUGUGAAAUUGUUGAAAGGGAAACGAUUGAAGUCAGUCGUGCUCUUUGGAUUCAGCCGGUUCUGCCGGUGUACUUCCUUUGAGUGGGGUCAACAUCAGUUUUGAUCGCUGGAUAAAGGCUGGAGGAACGUAGUACCCUCGGGUAAACUUAUAGCCUCCUGUCACAUACAGUGGUUGGGACUGAGGAACGCAGCACGCCUUUAUGGCCGGGAUUCGUCCACGUACGUG